rnacentral:rRNA from 1 species
GUGGGGAAUCUUCCGCAAUGGACGAAAGUCUGACGGAGCAACGCCGCGUGAGUGAUGAAGGUCUUCGGAUUGUAAAGCUCUGUUAAUCGGGACGAAAGAGCCUAGUGUGAAUAAUGCUAGGAAGUGACGGUACCGGAAUAGAAAGCCACGGCUAACUACGUGCCAGCAGCCGCGGUAAUACGUAGGUGGCAAGCGGUGUCCGGAAUUAUUGGGCGUAAAGCGCGCGCAGGCGGAUCUGCCAGUCUGUCUUAAAAGUUCGGGGCUUAACCCCGUGAUGGGAUGGAAACUACAGAUCUAGAGUAUCGGAGAGGAAAGUGGAAUUCCUAGUGUAGCGGUGAAAUGCGUAGAUAUUAGGAAGAACACCAGUGGCGAAGGCGACUUUCUGGACGAAAACUGACGCUGAGGCGCGAAAGCCAGGGGAGCGAACGGGAUUAGAAACCCCAGUAGUCC